rnacentral:rRNA from 1 species
UAUUUGACGAUCGAUUUGCGGGUCCGAGUUGUAAUUUGUAGAGGAUGCUUUUGGUGCGGUGCCUUCCGAGUUCCCUGGAACGGGACGCCUUAGAGGGUGAGAGCCCCGUACGGUUGGACGCCUAGCCUCUGUAAAGCUCCUUCGACGAGUCGAGUAGUUUGGGAAUGCUGCUCUAAAUGGGAGGUAUAUUUCUUCUAAAGCUAAAUACUGGCCAGAGACCGAUAGCGCACAAGUAGAGUGAUCGAAAGAUGAAAAGCACUUUGAAAAGAGGGUUAAAUAGCACGUGAAAUUGUUGAAAGGGAAGCGUUUAUCACCAGACUUUUUCUAGGGGGAUCAUCCGGUGUUCUCACCGGUGCACUUCCCCUAGUUGAGGCCAGCAUCGGUUUUCGGAGGGGGAUAAAAGUUUCGGGAAUGUGACUCCCCCGGGAGUGUUAUAGCCCGUUACAUAAUACCCUUCUGGGGACCGAGGUUCGCGCAUCUGCAAGGAUGCUGGCAUAAUGGUGAUCAACGACCCGUCUUGAAACACGGACCAAGGAGUCGAACAUUUAUGCGAGUGUUUGGGUGUCAAACCCUCACGCGUAAUGAAAGUGAACGGAGGUGAGAGCCCUUACGGGUGCAUCAUCGACCGAUCCUGAUGUCUUCGGAUGGAUUUGAGUAAGAGCAUAACUGUUCGGACCCGAAAGAUGGUGAACUAUGCGUGGAUAGGGUGAAGCCAGGAGAAAUCCUGGUCUUCACUCGCCGUUACU